rnacentral:rRNA from 1 species
UACAGAGGUCUCGAGCGUUGUUCGGAUUCAUUGGGCGUAAAGGGCGCGUAGGCGGCGGGGUAAGUCUGGUGUGAAAUCUCGGAGCUCAACUCCGAAAUUGCACUGGAUACUGCUCUGCUAGAGGGCUGGAGAGGAGAUCGGAAUUUACGGUGUAGCGGUGAAAUGCGUAGAUAUCGUAAGGAAGACCAGUGGCGAAGGCGGGUCUCUGGACAGUUCCUGACGCUGAGGCACGAAGGUCAGGGGAGCAAACGGG